UGCAUAUCAAUAAGCGGAGGAAAAGAAACCAACAGGGAUUGCCUUAGUAGCGGCGAGUGAAGCGGCAAAAGCUCAAAUUUGAAAUCUGGCACUUUCAGUGUCCGAGUUGUAAUUUGAAGAAGGUAUCUUUGGGUCUGGCUCUUGUCUAUGUUUCUUGGAACAGAACGUCACAGAGGGUGAGAAUCCCGUGCGAUGAGAUGACCCAGACCUAUGUAAAGUUCCUUCGAAGAGUCGAGUUGUUUGGGAAUGCAGCUCUAAGUGGGUGGUAAAUUCCAUCUAAAGCUAAAUAUUGGCGAGAGACCGAUAGCGAACAAGUACAGUGAUGGAAAGAUGAAAAGAACUUUGAAAAGAGAGUGAAAAAGUACGUGAAAUUGUUGAAAGGGAAGGGCUUGAGAUCAGACUUGGUAUUUUGUAUGUUACUCUUUCGGGGGUGGCCUCUACAGUUUACCGGGCCAGCAUCAGUUUGGGCGGUAGGAGAAUUGCAAAGAAAUGUGGCACUGCUUCGGUAGUGUGUUAUAGUCUUUGUCGAUACUGCCAGCCUAGACUGAGGACUGCGGCUUCGGCCUAGGAUGUUGGCAUAAUGAUCUUAAGUCGCCCGUC
rnacentral:rRNA from 1 species